GACGAACGCUGGCGGCGUGCUUAACACAUGCAAGUCGAACGGAAAGGCCCUGCUUUUGUGGGGUGCUCGAGUGGCGAACGGGUGAGUAACACGUGAGUAACCUGCACCUGACUUUGGGAUAACUUCAGGAAACUGGGGAUAAUACCGGAUAGGAGCUACUGCUGCAUGGUGGGGGUUGGUAAGUUUCGGCGGUUGGGGAUGGACUCGCGGCUUAUCCGCUUGUUGGUGGGGUAGUGGCUUACCAAGCUUUUGACGGGUAGCCGGCCUGAGAGGGUGACCGGCCACCAUAGGCCUGAGAUACGGCCCAGACGCCUACGGGACGCAGCAGUGGGGAAUAUUGCACAAUGAGCGGAAGCCAGAUGCAGCAACGCCGCGUGCGGGAUGACGGCCUACGGGGUGUGAACCGCUUUCUCCUGUGACGAAGCGUGAGUGACGGUAAUGGGUAAAGAAGCACCGGCUAACUACGUG
rnacentral:rRNA from 1 species